rnacentral:lncRNA from 1 species
ACACCAGGCCGCGGUUACUAAAGCACACAGAGGAGAAACAAAUGGAUAAGAUGUCCGACUACUGGCCUGUUUCAGAUGCAAAUGUGAAGAGUAUCCCAGGUUACAGAGCGAAUGCUCAGAAAAGAGAUUCACGACAAAGAAUCAAUGGGAACUGGGAAUGAGAGCUCUGGCUCCCCAGAUGUGGCUACUUGUAGAACCCAGCAGCCCCAGGUCUCUUGUAAGCAUUGGAAGCUGUGAAAGAAAGACUUUCUUUAUUCUGAGAGGGAACAGAAACUAAUGCUAAAGAACAGAAGACAAAAUGGGGAACUUCGC